rnacentral:lncRNA from 10 species
GACAGGGAAAGACUUUGAAAUGGGCAGAAAAGAUUACGGGAUGUCCUGCAGGUUCAGUGUGCUUUGGCCUAUUUUUCAACUGUCUAAAUUUUCGCCGCCAAAGUCGCCAAAACCGCCUUCGCCGCAGCUGCAGCCAAAGCCUCCUCCUCCUCCUCUUCCUUCUCUCUCCUCCCUCACCUCCUCCUUCCUUCUAGGAAGCUUACUGGAGUGAAACUUGAACGUUUUCAAAAAAAAAUCAUUAACGCAAAUGAUUCUUGUCCAAAGAAACAGAAAUAAUAGAAGUGUGAAGGGGCGUGGGAGGGGGUUGAGAUGUGCCGCGUUCAGGCCCGGGGCACCGGCGAGGGUGGGCGUGUGAGCGGGGGGUGGGGGCGUUAACGGUGUCUUCUCCCCACAAAUGAAAGAGAAAUAGUAAAUUCUCCUGCGGGUGGCGAAUCAGGAGGGAAGGUGGAGCCCACAAUCUUUGCAAACUCUCUGGGGAGCCAGGGGUUGGUAGCUGGGAAGACUUGGGUGGUGACCCUGGGGGAGGGGAAGGGGCCGGGGAGCGGGGAAUGGGGGCAGCCCCUGGGGAGGAAUGGGAGAGGGAGGAGGACGCCAGGGGCACAGGGACAGCCUCCGGGGCGGGGCGCGGCGCCAGCCUAGCCCGAGGAUGGAGGCUGAGGCCGCCUGUUGAGUCACAGGUAAGGGGAGCCGCUCUGGCCAGGCCCAGGGCCGCCCUCGUUCCUCCCGGAGCGCAGCGACAGCUCCUCCCCGCGUCUCGGGUUUCAAUGGCUGGGCCUGCCCGAAAGCUCUGGGCCCCCGCGUCCCAAUUUUUUCUUUAUUUUUGAAGGAUAAUAUUGCUGGACAUAGAAUUCUUUGUUGACAUUGGUCAGCUCUUUGAAUAUGUCAUCCAGUAUCUUCUGGCCUCCGUGGUUUAUGGUUUUGGCAGAGUUCAAAGACUGGGAAGCAAAGUUCAGCCAUGUUGGGCCUUUGGGCUCAUAGAUGAGCAAGGGUACCCCAAUAUGAGGGCUCAGCAAAUUCUGGAACUUAUCAGUUCUGAAGACCUUUAGAGGAGAAGGAGACAAGUAAAAGGUAUGUAGUCCUGGAGGGCGCUGCUUAAUGAACCAGAAGUCCUGCCUCUUAAGUACCUCACCAGCUCAAAUGUGUGCAUGUCACCUUGGCGUGAAUCGGAGCAGGCGCUGGUGGAUACCGUUUGGAGGCAUGCCAGCAAGGAGCUCCUUGUGUAGCCUGCCUCUGGAGCCUCAAGUUCAACUUCCAUAGGGCCAAAAGGGGAGUCGGGCUGGGCAGAAGCUCCUGAGAACCAAAGCAAAUGGUCUGAGAGUCUGAGAGUGUAGUGGAGGUAACGUGUUCGUGUCCUCUCUGGCUGCAUCACCCCAAGUCCUUGCAGACUCAAGUAGCCUAUUUGCAAGUUUAAAUAGUUUGAGUCCUGGCCGGUAACAAGAAUACUCUACAGUGGCCCAGAGUCAGGGAUAUAGAGUGGCGACUACUUGGCAGAACUGGAGCUUGCUCAGAUGAAAAGAUAAAUUGUACUGGUUAAACGAAGAUCAAGUGCAGGGUCUGGACUUUGUUUCUAUCUUUCAUGUGGACUCUAUAAGCACCUACACACAGCAUUCUAGAAACACUGCUCCCAUCCCUCCUGUCUCAUGUCAUCCUCCCAAUUCCGGGAGUUGGGGGGCAUACUCUUUCCCUGUGUCAUGUGAGAAAUUCCUUUCUCAUGGGAAGCAGGUGGCAUUCCUGGACUCUCCUUGGCCUGGCCGUUGGUAAGCACAGGAAUUCAAGGUGUCUGAAUCUCUUGUCAAAGGUGGGCUGUAAGGCUCCAGAAGAGGAGGACAGAAAGUGCCUGCAGAGCUCCUGCCUGAGGCCUUUGGAUGGGCCCUGCUGGCUUGCCGUGUGUGUGUGUGUGUGUGUGUGUGUGUGUGUGUGUGUGUGGUGUCGUGCUUAUUUGCCCCAAAUGAGGCAAGAGAGCAGUGAUCAGGUGUCUCCCCAGCAUCUAGUUUCAUGAAGACAAUAGAAGUGGGUCGGAUCAGGCCUGCUGCCAUGCUUGGCUUGCCCAUGUCUCCUAGGAUUGGCUGCCUGGUGGCCAUCCCUUUGCCAUCCCCUUGACUGCCCUGUGAAUGAUGUCCACUCUGAGACCCCAGGCCACUCAGAAAAACUGAAGAUUCUCAAGUUCAGGUGCAGUUAGGGGGCAGGUCCUGGUGGUGGGGGAGCUUUGAUGUUCUGCAGUUGGAGGAUCCUCUUUCAGAAUAGUAAUGCAAUUUGUGAAUUAAUAAAAUUAGGUAUGCAAGAGGAUAUGUAGAAAAGAAAAAUCACAAGCUACACAAUUUUUAAGUUGACAAAACUACGAACAUCACAAAAUAAUAUGAUAUUUUAAAUUAAUUAUCUGCCUGGAAUACUCUGUCAUUUUUUUUUGAUCUUUUGCCUGCAUCGUCUUUGAUAGCAGUGUUUUUGAUAUUGCUUUUUAUAGAGAGACUCAAGAUAAUGGAGUCUACUCUGUUGUGGUUAAUUAAACAUUUUUUGGUGUUAUUCAUAGUUUGAGAUGUUUCUUUUAGCUUCUCAACCUGCUAUACAGAUAAAAAGCACUUUCAUGUCAGGUAAAUAUUUAGAAUUGUUGCCAAAUUUUAAAUUUCCUCCAUCAAUUUUCUUUCAUAUGUCAUAUAUGAGUUGUGAGAUUUGGAAGGAUAUUUCAGACCAGCUUCUGUAUCUAUUUUUUUCUCUAAUCACAUGCUACUGGUGGUGUGGACAGUAGUAGCACAUGACCAUAUCAGGACAUGAUCUAUCUUGGUGUCAUGGCUCUCAGUGAGUCUGCUUGGAGGGUAGUAGAAGUAUCCCUGGACGUCAUUCCUACACCAGGACAGCAAUAACUUAGCUCUCCAAGGAAGUUACUGUGAACCACAUGCACAUAUUCUACUCAAGUCAAUGUGCCCCCAACUCAAUUUGUCCUUAGCUAGACCCCAAAAGUUCUCAUGGGGAGUCUCACUCCCCUUCCACUUAACAUGAUGGAAGGCCUGAUUGGAGGGGGGCGUCAGCAGUGGGAAGAGACACAGCCUUCACUGAUUGCAGCUAAAAUGUCUUACUUUUGAAAAUAGGACAAAAACAUAUGACCAUGUGCAUAUACUGCUGAAGCCCCUCCCUGGGCCAUGCAAGGUGCCUAUGUGAGUGCAAGUGAGAUGCCCGGAAGUGUAAGUUUCAUCUGCUCAGGAAAGGGCCAGGUAUUGCCUGGUAUCACAUUCCAGGGGAAAGGAAGAGACAGUCAAGGCCUUAUGGCUCUUAACUUUGAUCUUAGUGCUUCGUAUUUUCCAUUCUGCAUGAUACAAAAACAGAUUUAAAUCAUGUUCUAGAUAGAGAUGAAAAGCAUUUUCACUUUUGGCAGGUCGUGGAACAUCAAUCAAUAUUUGUUAAUUGGUUGAACUGGAUGCAUAAUUGGAAAGCUAAUGGAAGGAGAUAUGUUUUACAAGGAAGGGCCCUUGGUGAUCACUGAUUAGUCAUUUUUACAGAUAGCAAAGCCAGGAAGGGGAAUGACUGUCUGAAGGUGGCAGUGAAUGACAGAGCUGAGGCCCAUGGCAAGGUGCACUAGUACACUCUGCCUUUGCAUGACUGUAAGCAAUUAAAGUCUCAUCAGAAGUCAUUGUGAGUUAAUACACGGAGCAAAUAUAGGUGCAGAUGUCUAGAAGCAACAAUGGCAUUUACAGUGAAGCCAAACAUUGAAGGUUUACUGUAAAAUGUUGCACUGAAUUCUUUAUAUACACCUGUUUUGGUUAGUCAUUAUUCUCUCCAGUCUGUGGGUUACAUGCCCCUUGCUGACCCACAGUACCAUGCCACAAGAUAGGCAGUGUAUUGGCCAGGUGCACACCUGGCAAAAGUCUACUCUGCUUAGGUUCAGCUGUGGAUGGGUUCUGUGCGCCUUGGAUGGGGUCGUGAAAACUGUGGGACUACAGGACUGGGCUUGUGGGCAGAAGAGUCAUAGGGCACUCUGCCUAGGAAAAGGGAAAGGGGCCUGUUCCUACCAGGUGCUCUGCGGAGUGUCCACACUGCAGGGAAAGGCUCAGGUCUGAAUAGGAGGUGCAGACUUUGUGUCUACAGGACCCUGCAAACCUGAGGCCUUGUGGAGGUUUGGUCAAGAUGGAGAGGCCAGUUAGCGGCGUACCAUGGGCUAGACUGUCCAUGACGUGGAGUAAAAGGCAGCUAUUGGCACUGAGCUAACAACAGUGGGAGGUGGGGCCUCAGUGGAAGUGGAUUGCUUGCUUCUCAUCCUGCCUCCAACACUUGGUACCCACAUGACCCUGCACAAGGAACCUGUUUGUCCCAUCUGAGCCUCUGCAUCUUGGGCUGUCAAAAGCCAAGAAAAAAAAAUUGUAAGACUGAUCUCAUAGGGUCGUUACGAGAAUUAAAUGAGAUAAUCCAUGUAAAGCAACUGACAUGUAAAAAUAACAAUAAUGAAAG